AUCGGGUUACCGGCCACUGCACACAUCACUCUAUGAAUGGCUUUUUGCAUGUGGAUUCCCUUCCAUGCCCGAGUCCUACUGGGCAGCAUCUGCAGACGAAACGUUUCUGGGGGUACUUAGGCAAAUUGCUACCAACCCCAGUUCUUUAUAAAGUAAAAUACCUUGCCAAAUAUCUGAAAUAGCACAAAGUCAGCUAGGAAACUUACCUUUUUUCAGUUUAGAGGUUUUCAAAUCUGCCCUCAAUUCUGGGAUGGGCCGUGGAGAUCUAGGUUUAGAAAGUUUCAGGGUCCCCCCCCCCUUCUAUGAAUCUUACCAGAUCAGGGACAGCUUUUAGAUACUGUUAAGAAAAGUAAAUGUUAAAAAGGGAGGUGAUUCAAAAUAGUCUUAUUUUAAAAGACCCCUUAAAAGAAGUUACAUCUACUUUAUAAAAUGGAAUCUUCUAGAAAACAUGUGGCUACAGGCCAAGGAUGCUGCUGCCAAACAUUCCACACUACAUUUAUCAGCACCACAUCCAACAAAACUGGUUUGUGCUAAAGUUAAGAAACCAACACUGGUCUAAUUAAACAACAGUAAUUUAGAGCUGGGACAGGAGUUGUCCUUCCAGGCCCUUUACAUCCCUUGUCACAACCACUCAAUGUGAGGAGACCUCCGAGCCUGGCUGUGACCUGCUGCAGAGAGGUCAGAGAGGACGUGGAAAUAAGUCCGCCUGACCCCCAAAGCUUGUCCUUCCCACUAUCCCUUAACCCUUUCUUUUGUUUUCAUAAAUGAAAUAGGGGGACGUUUUCCAAAGGUCACACAUCUAGGGAGUAAGUACUAAGUACAGAUCGGCAGUUUGUAUCAAAACUGCGUAAGAGUGCAGACUUCUUUUAAGAGCACAAUCUUCCCUUCACUGGUAGAGAAUUCUCAGCUUCCCAGUAAAGCUGGAGUUUAGAGUGAUUACUUAAAAGCAAGUAUAGUAAAAUUAAUGAAAAGCCAGUCUUAAGCACAUAGAACGCUUUUAGAAAGUACACUGAAUUGUAAGGCUCAGAAAUGUAAAUUAAAAGGCUCAAGCCAUAAGUCCCUUUGGAGUACUAUUUAAGAUUUUUUUAAAAAACGGACACUCUUCUGCCCAACGUGGGGCUUGAACUCACGACCCCCAGAUCAAGUGUUUACAUGCUCUACUGACUGAAUCAGCCAGGUGCCCCAUAAAAAUUUUAAGCUUAGAUUUGGAAAAGCAGCUUUUCCAGCUCACCUUGACGGAAUUAGGGAUGCUCAAAAGAUUUCUAAGCCAGCAUGCCAGUUUAAUAAUUUAUAGGGAACAGACUGAACUAUAGAGGCACCCCAUUUCCCACUGCAUCAAGGGCCGGUACAUACUUUCCUUCCGAUGCACCAGAUGAACUGGGUGUCUUCCUAUUUCAAACCAGUCCUAACUGCAGUGGGUUCCUCCUGACCCCUCAAAAAUGGUGCAAAUGUGGUUACCCCUUCAUUUGCACCAUUAUUUUUCCUCUCCGGGCUAAAAACAAAACCCCUCCUCUCUUGACACCCCUCUCCCCAACAAGCCGCCUAAGGUACAAUCCCAUUUUUCUGCUCCCUCUCCCCGCAAAGCUAAAGUUAACCUCCCCUCCCUUUAACUCACUUCAAAGAGCAUUUAUCCCUACGCUGCACUGCAGAAGCCUGCGUGAGACACCAUAAAACCCGCCGGACUCCCAUCAGUGCACCUGGCACGGGCCACCGUUUGUUUUCAAAACGCUUUCCUUGGCUUCAGAUGGGAGGGACAGUGCCUCCUGGUUUUCUACCUUGCUGGCCGUUCCUGGCAGUUCUGCUGUUCCCUCCUCCGAUGACCUCUCGCACUGCCCUUCGCAGCUCCCAAAGGUAGGCUUUCAAUUAAAUGCCAUUUGCAUGAUGGCGACUCCCAUAUUUGUAAAUCACACCUAACCUCUCCCAAGCUUUCAUGUCCCCAUUCAUCUGUCUAGCGAUGCCUUGUGUAUGUCAGAGAAGCACCUUGAAAUUAAUACUUCCAAAUUAGAAUUACUUCUCAGGCAUCACUCCUCCACCAAUUUGCGGACCAAAAAACCUAGGCGCCAUCAUCCUUGAAUCCUUCAUCAAACCCACGUCCAAUGUGUUGGCAAGUCUGGGACAUACCUGAACCAAACACAUCCUGAACUAAAUUCACCUCCGCUGCUCCUACCAGGCUACCGUCAUCCCUCAUAGUAUCUUCACAGACCAUCGUCCUUUUAAAUCCCCCCAUGCCUUCCUUACUACUGUCGUGAAGGCCCCCACUCUCAUCCUCUGGUCUAGGUACACCGACCCAGAUGGUUCUUCCUUAGCACACACUGCCUUUCUUCUCCUGGAUCUUUGCAUGGUUGAGUCAGUAGCUGAAAUUCUGGUUUCCCUUUUGUCUGAGUCCUGCAGCACCACGGAAGUUCCACAAGGAACAUUUUGCCUGUUUUGAUCAAGGCUGUGUCUUUAGCACCAAGUGCCUAGUACUCAGUAGGUACUCUGUAAAUACUUUUUGAAUGGGUUGAUAAAUUCAGAAUUUACCUACAGUGCUUUCCUGAUAGGCCAGUACCAAAUUUUGUAUUUUAAAGUUUCCUGGAGAGCAAAGAAUGGGGGCAGAGAGUUUUUAAGGGUUAGUUCUAUCAGCUUGAUUAACUCCCAUUUCUAUCUUAGGUUUGCUGAUGCUAAUAAUCCCUAGAUUACACUGGAAUGAUCACUGAAUAAUUCUUUAAAAAGAACUGCAGGCUACCUUUUCUGACAUCACCCUGGGCUACUAAUUCAGUCAUAGCUUAUGCUACAUAAAUUUUGUAAUCUCUUUGUAUGAGCUUCGAUAGGUACUAGUGUUUUACGAGUGAGCUUUCCACCCCCGCCCCCAACCUUGCCACAUAAAUCUGGUAGUGUUCAGUUUUGCGGCUUGUACCUAAGCCUUCUUUUCACCAACUACAGUAUUUUGUUUUACUAAUGAUGGGCCAAUUAAAUAGGUCAAUAGUAUUUUUUUCCAUUAAAUUUUUAAAUUUUCAAUGGCUAAACCAUACUCUGCACCCUUAAAUGAUAGCAGUCAUCGGUCAAAGGUAACAAACAGAGGGAUAAAAAGCCCUAUUUAAGAUGCCAGUGUUUACAGUUAUGGUGCCUCUUGAAAUAAACAACUUUUAAAUUGGGGUACGUUUGGUUACAUGACGCAUACUCCAAAUAGUAUAGGAGGCAUUAAAAAAAGGCACUAAUAGUGUAGAAACUGACAAAUAUGUUUUGAUGUUCAAUAUGGAAAUAUCUAACAUUUGUUCAUAUUAACCAUCUGAUGACCUGAGCCAAAUUUAAAGGAAAAAUCCCCAGAGAAGCAGUAACUGAAGUAGCAACAUUUCCAAGCUGAGCAGAGACUAUCCUAAAACUGUAGAUUAGGACCGUUCCGGCACACAGUAGGUCUUGCGUAUUUGUUCAUUGGCCCAAAGUGAGCGUCUCUGCAAGCUCUCUAUUGAAAAAAAAAAAAGGUUUUCUUCCAUUUUCUGAACAUCCGUUAUUCGCUCGGCACUGAGGAUAUACAAAUGGGGUUCCCUGAAGGAGCCCAAGAGGAAGACGACAUAAAUGAUGAACAUCCAGUGUCACGAGUGCGGGAAUGAUGUAGCUAAGUGGAAGGUGCCGGGGAGAUGGGGACAGAGGCAUUUCCAUCUGCUUUGGGGAGUCAGGAGGCCCUUUAGGAGAAACCGCCCUCCUUUUCCAAGCCCCCUGUGUCUAGAGCCUCGGGUAGCUUUGGCGCAACUGGAAGGGAGAGGAGUCACACAAGCUGCACGGUUAGGGGCUACGUGAGGGCUUUGUACUACAGGCCACGGAAUUCGGCUUUUAUCCUGAGAGCGACGCGCCGCGGCGACUGCAUCUUCCGCAGACGUGAAAUGUUGCAGUUUGCAGGUAAGAGACACGAAGUCAACUGGAGAAGCAUAUGUGGCCUUGAGCUAUGGGACAUUACUUCCCUUUAACAAGCUACUGAGAAAUGUUGAACCUCACUUUGGUGUAGUCAGUGUUGGUCUUCGACAGUGAAUGGAUACACCGCCAGGUCUGUUGUGGGGCUCAAGAUUCUGCAUUUCUAGCAAGCUCCAGCCAGUGCUGAUACUGCUAAUGUUGGGACCACGCUUUGAAUAGUAAGUAAAAUAGAUUUAGCUUUGACUCGCAUAUAAGAGGGGCAUGUAAAAGUGCGAAUUCUCACAUAUAAAAGCGAGAAUAAUCAUAGCAGUAUGCCAAGAACAAUGUAAAUGUAAACAAUGGAAGUGUCUUGAAUGGGAGAAUGGGUAAAUUAAUUGUGGCGAAGUCAGCAAUAACAUAUAUAUCAUCAGUGCAAGUGAACUAGAUUAACAUCAAUGUGGAUGACUUUUACAAUAAUUUUAAUAUUUUUUACAUAAUUUGAAACAAAAUGUAAAUUGCGCAAAGAUAUGUAAAGUGUUUAUAUAAAGCUUAAAAUUAUACAAAACAACACUAUGCAUGUAGCAAUGCAUACAAAGUAGUAAAAACAUAAAGGUCCACCUAGAAAUAAUAAUACCAAAUUCAGGAAAAUAUUUCCUCUUGUGGGGAGGGAGAGGUAUGUGACUGAGGACAGGCAACCAGGAAGAUUCUAUUCUACUUUAAUUAAAAAAAAUUUUUUU